GAUGAACGCUGGCGGCGUGCCUAAUACAUGCCAGUCGAGCGAACGGACGAGGAGCUUGCUUCUCUGAUGUUAGCGGCGGACGGGUGAGUAACACGUGGAUAACCUACCUAUAAGACUGGGAUAACUUCGGGAAACCGGAGCUAAUACCGGAUAAUAUUUUGAACCGCAUGGUUCAAAAGUGAAAGACGGUCUUGCUGUCACUUAUAGAUGGAUCCGCGCUGCAUUAGCUAGUUGGUAAGGUAACGGCUUACCAAGGCAACGAUGCAUAGCCGACCUGAGAGGGUGAUCGGCCACACUGGAACUGAGACACGGUCCAGACUCCUACGGGAGGCAGCAGUAGGGAAUCUUCCGCAAUGGGCGAAAGCCUGACGGAGCAACGCCGCGUGAGUGAUGAAGGUCUUCGGAUCGUAAAACUCUGUUAUUAGGGAAGAACAUAUGUGUAAGUAACUGUGCACAUCUUGACGGUACCUAAUCAGAAAGCCACGGCUAACUACGUG
rnacentral:rRNA from 1 species